UACAGAGGGGGCAAGCGUUGUUCGGAAUUACUGGGCGUAAAGGGCGCGUAGGCGGCCUGUUAAGUCGAACGUGAAAUCCCUCGGCUCAACCGGGGAACUGCGUCUGAUACUGGGUGGCUUGAAUCCGGGAGAGGGAUGCGGAAUUCCAGGUGUAGCGGUGAAAUGCGUAGAUAUCUGGAGGAACACCGGUGGCGAAGGCGGCAUCCUGGACCGGCAUUGACGCUGAGGCGCGAAAGCCAGGGGAGCAAACGGG
rnacentral:rRNA from 1 species